rnacentral:rRNA from 1 species
GACGAACGCUGGCGGCGUGCUUAACACAUGCAAGUCGUACGGUAAGGCCCUUUCUGGGGUACACGAGUGGCGAACGGGUGAGUAACACGUGAGUAACCUGCCCACAACUUUGGGAUAACGCUAGGAAACUGGUGCUAAUACUGGAUAUGUUCUCCUGCUGCAUGGUGGGGGUUGGAAAGCUCCGGCGGUUGUGGAUGGACUCGCGGCCUAUCAGCUUGUUGGUGGGGUAGUGGCCUACCAAGGCGGCGACGGGUAGCCGGCCUGAGAGGGUGACCGGCCACAAUGGGACUGAGAGACGGCCCAGACGCCUACGAGAGGCAGAAGGGGGGAAGAUUGAACAAUGGGCGCAAGCCUGAUGCAGCAACGCCGCGUGCGGGAUGACGGCCUUCGGGUUGGAAAACGCUUGCAGCAGGGACGAAGCUUUUUGUGACGGUACCUGCAGAAGAAGCACCGGCUAACUACGUG